rnacentral:pre_miRNA from 1 species
UUUCCUGCCCUCGAGGAGCUCACAGUCUAGUAUGUCUUAUCCCCUACUAGACUGAGGCUCCUUGAGGACAGGGAUAGUCAUACUCACCUC